ACUCCUACGGAAGGCAGCAGUGGGGAAUAUUGCGCAAUGGGCGAAAGCCUGACGCAGCCAAUCCGCGUGGGUGAUGAAGGCCUUCGGGUUGUAAAGCCCUGUCGUGAGGGACGAAGUUCUGACGGUACCUCACAAGAAAGCACCGGCUAACCCCGUGCCAGCAGCCGCGGUAAU
rnacentral:rRNA from 1 species